rnacentral:tRNA from 1 species
GCCUCUGUAGUGUAAUGGACCUGCGCGGCAGACCGGAUAUGUGUAAGUGCGGGUUCGAGUCCCGCCAGAGAUC